rnacentral:rRNA from 1 species
CCUACGGGAGGCAGCAGUGGGGAAUUUUGGACAAUGGGCGCAAGCCUGAUCCAGCCAUUCCGCGUGAGUGAAGAAGGCCUUCGGGUUGUAAAGCUCUUUCGCAAGGGAAGAAAACUUAGUCUCUAACAUAGACUGAGGUUGACGGUACCUUGAUAAGAAGCACCGGCUAACUACGUGCCAGCAGCCGCGGUAAUACGUAGGGUGCGAGCGUUAAUCGGAAUUACUGGGCGUAAAGCGUGCGCAGGCUGUUUUGUAAGUCAGAUGUGAAAUCCCUGAGCUCAACUUAGGAACUGCGUUUGAAACUACAAGACUAGAAUAUGUCAGAGGGGGGUAGAAUUCCACGUGUAGCAGUGAAAUGCGUAGAGAUGUGGAGGAAUACCAAUGGCGAAGGCAGCCCCCUGGGAUAAUAUUGACGCUCAUGCACGAAAGCGUGGGGAGCAAACAGGAUUAGAUACCCUGGUAGUCCACGCCCUAAACGAUGUCUACUAGUUGUUGGUGGAGUAAAAUCCAUGAGUAACGCAGCUAACGCGUGAAGUAGACCGCCUGGGGAGUACGGUCGCAAGAUUAAAACCGUNAAAGUGAAGUUGACGGCUGAGACGUUGCGACGGACGACGACGAGGGAGGAGG